rnacentral:rRNA from 1 species
CCUACGGGUGGCAGCAGUGGGGAAUAUUGGACAAUGGGGGCAACCCUGAUCCAGCCAUGCCGCGUGUGUGAAGAAGGCCCUCGGGUUGUAAAGCACUUUCAGUGAGGAAGAACGCCUGGUGGUUAAUACCCAUCAGGAAAGACAUCACUCACAGAAGAAGCACCGGCUAACUCCGUGCCAGCAGCCGCGGUAAUACGGAGGGUGCGAGCGGUAAUCGGAAUUACUGGGCGUAAAGCGCGCGUAGGUGGCUUGAUAAGCCGGUUGUGAAAGCCCCGGGCUCAACCUGGGAACGGCAUCCGGAACUGUCAAGCUAGAGUGCAGGAGAGGAAGGUAGAAUUCCCGGUGUAGCGGUGAAAUGCGUAGAGAUCGGGAGGAAUACCAGUGGCGAAGGCGGCCUUCUGGACUGACACUGACACUGAGGUGCGAAAGCGUGGGUAGCAAACAGGAUUAGAUACCCGAGUAGUC